rnacentral:rRNA from 1 species
GACGAACGCUGGCGGCGUGCCUAAUACAUGCAAGUUGAGCGCUGAAGGUUGGUACUUGUACCAACUGGAUGAGCAGCGAACGGGUGAGUAACGCGUGGGGAAUCUGCCUUUGAGCGGGGGACAACAUUUGGAAACGAAUGCUAAUACCGCAUAAAAACUUUAAACACAAGUUUUAAGUUUGAAAGAUGCAAUUGCAUCACUCAAAGAUGAUCCCGCGUUGUAUUAGCUAGUCGGUGAGGUAAAGGCUCACCAAGGCGAUGAUACAUAGCCGACCUGAGAGGGUGAUCGGCCACAUUGGGACUGAGACACGGCCCAAACUCCUACGGGAGGCAGCAGUAGGGAAUCUUCGGCAAUGGACGAAAGUCUGACCGAGCAACGCCGCGUGAGUGAAGAAGGGUUUCGGAUCGUAAAACUCUGUUGGUAGAGAAGAACGUUGGUGAGAGUGGAAAGCUCAUCAAGUGACGGUAACUACCCAGAAAGGGACGGCUAACUACGUG